GUCAUACCAGCAACGGGAAAGAACCCUAACACAUGGAGAGGGAAGUGAUGAAAUUAAAAAAAAAAAUUCAGCUGUUGGGUAAUGCUGCUACAGGGAUUCCUGGCAACAAUUAAGCACAGCUACAGAAGUCAGACUCACUGCAGGCUUGAGGAAGAGGGAUAGCUCACUAUUCGCUCUGAUGAUGAGAAUGAGUUGCAGAACCAGGAGAACUUCCUCUUCUAGUCCUGGAGUGAGAUGAUGAGGUAUAUCCAUCUAAGUUCUUAAAGUGACCUGAGCUAUUCAAUUGCUUCAUUUUCAAGAAUGUGUCAUUUUAAAUAAUACCUAUUUCA
ensembl:lncRNA